rfam:Strongylocentrotus purpuratus Contig109054_fixed, whole genome shotgun sequence.
ACCGUCUGUGAUGAUAAAAGAUCACUAUUUUCGAGUGAUGAGCUAUGAGAAUAAUCUUUCUUACAUGCACUACCAUCUGAGACAGU